CUAGACUGACCUGUUGACUUGUUGACUUGUUCCUGACUUGGCUGUACACAUUAAAUCUUUAUUACAUACUUUAGAAGAAGCUUUGUUUUAACAAUUUUUUCCCCUUCCUGCAGCUUUUUCUGUCGUAAUGGAGCAGAGGCUUACUAUCGAUGCAAUCACACCGCUAACUACAGAAUGGACCUGCAAAGUUCAUGUGGUGGAUAAGUUUCUCUCUCUCAAGAGCAAAGAUCAAAUUGUUCAUUUCCAAACAAUAAAUGUGCAGGAUGAAAACGAAGAACAGGUUUCCACAGAUCUCCGUAUGGUGUAGGUGUCUAAACUGUUUGCCCCUUACUCAAUGCGAGCCAACAUGAAAGGGUUGUCAAUAGGUACACAAUCAUUGAGCCUAUUACCAACAACAACAGUGCACCAUUACCUGCUCCAUGAAAUUUGAAUGCUUCCCCUUUUCCGGAUAUCGAAGAAUUUGGACUACACUUCUGGAACCAAAUCAGACAGCAAUGAUAGGACACAAGAGGCUUGUCAACCAACCGCAAACUUAAAACUAAUCAGAUGUACAAGCAAGCUAGAGUCUGAAGAAGCUACUAAUCUUGAAGGAAGUGCAGAACAAUUUAAGCAUUUGGAUAAGUUGGAAGUAUAAGCGGAACUUUAGUUUGUUACAAUCUGUUUAGAAAUGUCACGUUUGUGGAAGCUACAAUUUCAUUCUCUUUAAUCUGGAGUUGACAAAUAUAAUGUCAUUUAAUUUGAAUGUGUACAUUUUUAGUUGACAAAUGUAAUGUCAUUUCUUAUUUUAGCAAUGUCUGUACAUCAACAUUCAGACUCAUCAUCUAGUCACUUAAUUUAAAGCAAGAUAGCUCCAGAUUACGUUA